rnacentral:lncRNA from 1 species
CUCUCUGUCCUUCGGUGGAGACUCCGGGAAAAACCUGCCUCCCAGUCUGCCCUCUCUCCGUCUGUCUGUGCUUGUUUUUCUACGUUUAUCCCUGUCGCUUUCCCCACUUAUUCUGCAGGCAUGGCGCGCCCCCAGUGCCGGCUUGGUGCCAGGGCUGGGAGAUCCGGGGGUGAAUCGUGAGCCCGGCCCACAGCGAGCUUGCAGUCUAGAGAUCAAGGCAGUCUUGUCCACAACCUGCUGUCACAUAAAGCAAAUGUAGCUGGUGUAGCACCAGGGGCUGCAAUCAAGUGCGGUGGGGCGGCAAUAGUGACCACGGAAAUAAUCAGAAUUGCUUUUAAUUCAGCUCCUACUAUAUUCCCGCAUCCCUGAGCCUCACAAUCAUCCUCCAAGGUAGGUAUUUUUGUCUUUCUCUAACAGAUGAAAACUCUGAGUUUCAGAAGAAUUAAAUGACAUCCCCCCAAAAGAGAGACAGUAUAAGAAUCCAAGUCAACCUGAGUCCAAAACCAGUGGCCCUUAACACUGUGUGGCUUUAUGGAGGACAUGGAGUUUAAGUUUACCUUCAAGGAUGAGCAACACUUUUCUUCAAGCAGAAAAAGAAGGGAAUGGGUGAACACGGUCCCAGGAUGUUCGCUUUGGCAGAUGAUUAGAAUACGUGCUGACUUGAUAGCCACAACUGUCCUGAUAAGAAAGUACGCCGGCCUGGCUGGGCAUGGUGGCUCACGCCUGUAAUCCGAGGAUUUUGGGAGGCCCAGGCGGGCGGAUCACUUGAUGUCAGGAGUUCGAGACCAGCCUGUCCAACAUGGUGAAACCCCGUCUGUACUAAAAAUACAAUAAUUAGCCGAGCAUGAUGGCAUGUGCCUGUAAUCCCAGCUACUCGGGAGGCUGAGGCACGAGAAUCGCUUGAACCUGGAAGGCAGAGGUUGCAGUUACUUUCCCGACAUUGCACCACUGCACUCCAGCCUUGGCGACAAGAGCGAAAUUUUGUCUCAAAAAAGAAAGAAAGAAAGCACUCAGGCCUGACCCAGGACCACAGCAGUGGACAUGGAGGGAGGAGGCUGGGGGUAGUUGGAUUGGUAUGAUAUGUCACUGAGUAAACGAAGGAAGGGACAGAAAGAGAACUCCAAAGUGUCAAAAGCCUGGACAACAGAGAGAAAGCAUCCUUGUCCUAUCAUUUAAAGCACCUGUUGGGCCAAAUAGGGAGCACCUUUCAGAAUCCAUGUGCACAAGAUCUCAGCAAUUCUACGUCCAAGAAUGUAACCUACAUCCAAGAAUGUACUGGAAUUUAAUUCCACAUCCAAGAAUCCCCAUAGGUAGCAAAGAUGUAUAUUUAAGGGUAUUCUCUCAGCUUUGUUUUUAUGUUAGGAGAUUGGGAACAACCUAAAUGCCCAUCAGCUGGUGACUGGCUAGGUUAACUAUUCACAAAUGGAAUACUAGGUAGCCUCCUAAAAGAGGAAAGCAAUUCUACAUAUCCUGAUACAGUGUGGUCACCAGAUAGAUGGCUAAGAUACAAAUAAAACAAACAAGUUGCAGUGUUAGAGUAUGCUAUGUAUCACUCCUUUUUAAGGACAAAAAGAGGAUAUACUUUAACUUUUUAAGAUACCAAAGUAUUUAUUUAUUUAAAAUUUUUUUCACAGAAUUGUUAUAGCAUGUAGAACCAAAAAUUAUUUACAAAUGAAAUUAUUCAAUGUCUGAGAUUUGUGUCAAAAUAAUGGUAUGGGGGUUUAGUGAGUAAGCAUGUAGGUAGAACAAGAUUGUCCAUGAGCUGAUAGUUGUUGAAGCUGGGUGAUCACCUGGGUGUUUUAUACUAUUUGGGUGUUAAACUAUUUUUUUUUCUAUUCUUGUGUAUGUGUCAAAUUUCCACUUAAGAAAAUGGGGGAAAAUGGUGUCAGCCCUCCAUUCCAGCUGAACACACCAUGUUAGUUCAUGCCCCAUCACACCACUCUUCUAGCCAUCUGUCAAUCUUCUCUGCCUGGCAAAUUUCUACUCUUUCAUCAGGACCCAGGAUAAUUAUCACCUUCUCUGAGAGGGCUUUUCCAACCCCUAUAGUCAGAAUCAUUCCUUCUCUAUGCUUGGGGCCCCCUGAGAAAUGUCUCUAAUCCUGUCACAAAUACAUAUUCCAGUGUCAUUAUCCAUCUCCCUAGUAGACAGUGAACAUUUCCAUCAAUGAGACAAUGUCUCAACUAUCUUCUUUCUGUCUCAACCCUUAACCCUGGCACUUAAUACUUGUUUGUUAAAUUCAUGGGUCAGGUCUAGUGAAGACAAUGAUUAGUUGUUUGGUUUGAUACAUACUGACCUUGAGAAGUCAAAGGGAUAUAGGAGGAGAGAAAGUGAAUGAGGAACUGAUGUUACUGAGCCUGUGCUAGGAGACUGCUGGGGCAAGGAAUAGAGUGAGGAGAAAGGAGGCAAGGCUCCUGCUGGCAAGGACCUCACUUUCAUUUCAGCUGGGGAAGAGCAUGGAAAGAUGUCAUUCUAGAGCAUGGUAAGUGCCAUGGAUGAAAUAGACAAGGCAAAACUUAUUCCACUUCAGCAAAGCGAGUGUCAAUAUUCUACUUAUGGAUGAGUGGAUGAACACAUGUUCAGAUGAAAUCACUUGUGCAAAGUUUACAGCUGUUAGUGCUGAACAGGAACAAGCCUUUGUCUGCCAUCAUGUGCGGCCAUGCUUUUUCCUCUGCCCUUCACUGCCAUUCGACAUGCAGGUGACACUCUGGAGCUCGGACCGAACAUUCAGAUUUGGAGGUCAUUCUACAGGAGAUAGUUGAAAUGAGGGGAGGGGAGAAGGUCUCCUAGAAACCACAAGAGAGGGAAAGUAACAGCAGCUGACUUUCAUUGAGUACUUAGUACACUCCAGACCCCAUACUAAGCAUUUUUUUUUUUGAGAUGGAGUCUCGCUCUGUUGCCCUGGCUGGAGUGCAGUGGUGCAAUCUCGGCUCACUGCAACCUCCUCCUCUUGGGUUCAAGCGAUUCUCCUGCCUCAGCCUCCCAAGUAGCUGGGACUACAGGUGUGUGCCACCACGCCCAGCUAAUUUUUUGUAUUUUUAGUAGAGCCAGCAUUUCAUCGUGUUAGUCAGGAUGGUCUUGAUCUCCUGACCUCAUGAUCUGCCCGCCUCAGUCUCCCAAAGUGCUGGGAUUACAGGCGUGAGCCACCGCACCUGGCCCAUACUAAGCCUUUUACACUUUUAAAAGUAAAAGUGAAAUCACUUUGCACAAGUGAUUUCAUCUGAACAUGUGUUCCUCCACUCAUCCAUAAGUAGAAUAUUGACACUUGCUUUGCUGAAGUGGAAUAAGUUUUGCCUUGUCAAUUUGUUUAUUUAUUUAUUUAUUUAUUUAUUUAUUUAUUUAUUCUAUUAUAUAUUUAUUUAUUCCAUAUAACAACCCUCAUUAAGUAGGAACUCUUUUUUGAGGGACAGGGUAUUACUGUGUUGCCCAGGCUAGUCUUGAACUUCUGGCCUGUGGUGUUCCUCCUGCCUUGGCCCCACAGAGUGCUGAGAUUACAGGCUUCAGCCACCAUGCCCGGUCUAAAGUAGGAACUCUUAACAGUCCCACAUUUAUAGCCUGGGAAAAUGAAGCUUAGGAAGAAUGAAGUCAACAGAGCAACAGAGGUCACACACCUCGCAAACAGCAGAGCCCAAAUGUCUUACCAUGCACUACCCUUUUGAGAAAGAAGACUGAAAUCAGGAGCCUGGUAAGGAAAUGGUGGAAACAGUGAAAGAGAACAAGAUGCACUGUUUCAUUUGUGAGAUGAGAAACAGAAAAAAAGAAAUGUCCUGAGAGCCCAAGAAAGACUGUUAGGAAAGGAACUGGGGCAAGUGUCAGAGUCCAUGGAGAAACCCAGCAGGGAAACCUGAGGGUCAUGGCAAUUGGCCAACACGAGGCGAUAAGGGACCUUUGAUGGAGCUAUUUUUGGUGGUGCUAACCUUCUUUGCUACAGGCUCACAACUGGAGCAUCUGCUUGCUUCCUCUGACCUGCCCCCUGGACUCAUGUUGUCAUUCUUCUCGCUCAACCUGUCUGCCUAGGGAAGAAGCCCUGGACUGUGUUUCCCCAAUCUCAGUAUUCCCAACCCUCCUGGCCCCCAACCCAGUACCUGCAGAGCUGACUCUAACCACCCAGUGCACCUCCCGCAGGCUGCAGCAGCCCCCAUCGAGGCCACUCAUUUACAGCACAGGCCCACACAGUCUGACAAAGGACAGCUGCAAUCCUCUGUCAACUGCAGUCCUUUCCCAGGCACAUGCUGGAUUGGGAAACAGACAUUUAUCAAGCACCUACUCUGUGCCUAGCAUUGUGCUAGGUGCUAGAGAGCCAAAAAUAAAUAGCAGCUGCUCUUGUGGAGGUCACAGUCUUGGAGGAGUUAAAGACACGGAAACAAAUUACAACACAGCGUAACAGCAGUGACAGAAGCACGUAUGAUAUGGUUUGACUGUGGCCCCACCAAAUCUCAUCCUGAAUUGUAGUUCCCAUAAUCCCCACUUGUGGUGGGAGGGGCCCAGUCGGAGGUAAUUGAAUCAUAAGGGUAGUUUCCCCCAUGUUAUUCUCGUGAUAGUGAGUUCUCAUGAGAUCUGAUGGUUUUAUAAGGGGCUUCCCCCUUCACUCAGCUCUCAUUCUUCUCUCUCCUGCCACCAUGUAAAGAAGGAUGUGUUUGGUUUCCCUUCCAUCACGAUUGUAAGUUUCCUGAGGCCUCCUCAGCCAUGUGGAACUGUGAGUCAAUUAAAUCUCUUUCCUUUAUAAAUUACCCAGUCUUGGGUAUUUCUUCAUAGCAGCCUGAGAAGGGACUAAUACAACAUACGAAGUUGGCAGCAAAGUGAGUGGUGGAAAGGAGAGUCAUGGAAAAGCAAACAAGGGAGGGUUAUAACUACAGCUUGGCAUCCUCCACUAAUGUUGUAAGGUCCUGGAGCAUUUUGGCAAUGGUGCUAAAAUGAGGAUGUAAGGACAAAAUCCCCUAGAUUUUCGACAGGUGAGCUUGUGAGGUGUUG